AGUCUUGGUUCAAAUACCACAAGCUCACUUUUCUUAUUGAGUUUUAGUAAAUUUUCCUGAAUGAAUGUUUUUUCAGUGGCUGCAUACCCUUCUCUGGACCAUUUCCACAGAUUAAAGAAUUUUUUAGAAACUAUUUUCACCAGUUUUGCUGAGGGGUAGGUAAAGAGAACUCUUCAAUGUCAUGCCACUGUAGAUUCUUUUUUGAUAACUCAAAGUCAUAAGACUGUAGGCAGUAGAAAGCCAGAAAACUCAAAUCCCAGUGCCCACAUCAUAAUUCACUCUAAUCAGUGUAUACUGACCUUCACCCCUGCCUCUUUGGAGCAGUCUCUCAGAAGUACUUGAGGCACCAUUUCCCAGGCUGCAGUCCUCAUUUUGCCCCAAAUAAAACGAUAUCCGCCUAGAAAGGGGAGGCACGUGGCCAACUCUUGCCUUUCAGCACGUCUAUGUGACCUUCAAAACUCCUUAGGACACGCCGGUUUGCGGCGGGGCUGCAUCCCCGUCAGACUCAGGUUGGCAGAAUCUCCCGGGGCUGCCGGGUGUGCACGGCUUGCGGUUCCGAAGCUAGAGUUCACAGAACAAUAC
ensembl:lncRNA